rnacentral:rRNA from 1 species
CCUGCGGCGACCGGCGCACGGGUGAGUAACACGUAUGCGACCUGCCCCCCGCAGGGGGAUAACCGGGAGAAAUCCCGACUAAUACCGCGUAACGCCGCGGACCUGCAUGGGUCUGCGGCCAAAGGAAGCGAUUCCGGCGGGGGAUGGGCAUGCGGCGCAUUAGCUAGUCGGCGGGGUAACGGCCCACCGAGGCGACGAUGCGUAGGGGUUCUGAGAGGAAGGUCCCCCACACUGGUACUGAGACACGGACCAGACUCCUACGGGAGGCAGCAG